rnacentral:rRNA from 1 species
UACGGGGGGGGCAAGCGUUGUUCGGAAUUACUGGGCGUAAAGGGCUCGUAGGUGGCCAACUAAGUCAGACGUGAAAUCCCUCGGCUUAACCGGGGAACUGCGUCUGAUACUGGAUGGCUUGAGUUUGGGAGAGGGAUGCGGAGUUCCAGGUGUAGCGGUGAAAUGCGUAGAUAUCUGGAGGAAUACCGGUGGCGAAGGCGGCAUCCUGGACCGGCAUUGACGCUGAUGAGCGAAAGCUAGGGGAGCAAACGGG